rnacentral:rRNA from 1 species
CCAGACUCCUACGGGAGGCAGCAGUGAGGAAUAUUGGUCAAUGGGCGGGAGCCUGAACCAGCCAAGUCGCGUGAGGGACGACGGUCCUAUGGAUUGUAAACCUCUUUUGUCAGGGAGCAAUGGCGUCCACGUGUGGGCGUAUGGAGAGUACCUGAAGAAAAAGCAUCGGCUAACUCCGUGCCAGCAGCCGCGGUAAUACGGAGGAUGCGAGCGUUAUCCGGAUUUAUUGGGUUUAAAGGGUGCGUAGGCGGGACCUUAAGUCAGCGGUAAAAUUGCGGUGCUCAACGCCGUAGAGCCGUUGAAACUGGGGUUCUUGAGUGAGCGAGAAGUAUGCGGAAUGCGUGGUGUAGCGGUGAAAUGCAUAGAUAUCACGCAGAACUCCGAUUGCGAAGGCAGCAUGCCGGCUCCACACUGACGCUGAGGCACGAAAGCGUGGGUAUCGAACAGGAUUAGAUACCCGUGUAA